rnacentral:rRNA from 1 species
ACUCAAAUGAAUUGACGGGGACCCACACAAGCGGUGGAGCAUGGGGUUUAAUUCGAUGACAAGCGAAGCACCUCACCCAGACUUGACAUCCUGAGAAUCCUGCAGAAAUGCGGGAGUGCCGCAAGGAACUCAGAGACAGGCGCUGCACGGUCGUCGUCAGCUCGUGCCUUGAGGUGUACUGUUCAGUCAGCCAACGAGCGCAACCCUCAUCCUAUGUUGUUAUUUCAUAGGAGACUGCCGCCUCCAAGGCGGAGGAAGGUGAGGAUGACGUCAGAUCAGCGUGGCCUUUAUGUCUGGGGCAACACCCGUGCUACAAUGGUCGGUACAAACGGCAGCGAAACCGCGAGGUGAAGCAAAUCCGAUAAAACCGAUCUCAGUCCGGAUUGAAGUCUGCAACUCGACUUCAUGAAGUUGGAAUCGCUAGUAACCGUGAAUCAGCUACGUCACGGUGAAUAUGUUCCUGGGUCUUGUACACACCGCCCGU